GAUAAACGCUAGCGGCAGGCUUAACACAUGCAAGUCGAGGGGCAGCAUAGAUUGUAGCAAUACAAUUGGUAGCGACCGGCGCACGGGUGCGUAACGCGUAUGCAACCUACCCGUCACAGGGGGAUAAUCCGGAGAAAUCUGGUCUAAUACCCCAUAACAUAUGGAUCGGCAUCGGUUCAUGUUGAAAUUUUCGGAGGUGACGGAUGGGCAUGCGUAGCAUUAGGUUGUUGGUGAGGUAACGGCUCACCAAGGCGACGAUGCUUAGGGGGACGGGGCGGUUUUCCCCCCACACUGGUACUGGGACACGGACCGGACUCCGACGGGAGGAAGAAGUGAGGAAUAUUGGGCAAUGGGCGCAAGCCUGAACCAGCCAUGCCGCGUGCAGGAUGACGGCUCUAUGAGUUGUAAACUGCUUUUGUACGAGGGUAAAGUGGGUUACGUGUAACCUUUUGAAAGUAUCGUACGAAUAAGGAUCGGCUAACUCCGUGCCAGCCGCCGCCGUAA
rnacentral:rRNA from 1 species